rfam:Prunus persica cultivar Lovell chromosome G1, whole genome shotgun sequence.
AUACCUUUCUCGGCCUUUUGGCUAAGAUCAAGUGUAGUAUCUGUUCUUAUCAGUUUAAUAUCUGAUAUGUGGGUCAAUGACCCACACGAUAUUAAAUUAAUUUCUUUAGGGGGAGGGUUCGCUACGGUAGCUUGCUAUUGGGGCUCUCAAGUGUCGCUCAAGCGUUGCACUAUUGCAGGGGCCUGGCGCACCCCAC